AUCCCCCCACGCAUCACUAUGAACAAACCAGUUCUUUCACCGAGCACUCUUAACUAGAACUGCGAUAAACAUCUACGUCUUUCCGUAAUGUAUCCAUAGCUUGCGACUAUCGGAUUAUGUAUUCAUUUAAUAUGAAGCGCCCUUAGUAUGAAUAACGGAUAGUAUCUGGCAAAGGCAGACGGCCUGACGACGCGGGACCGGUCUUAGCUCUACGGAUGAGAAUCAUGGGAGACAUGACUUUUACUUUAAAAACUAUUAGCCUGGGAUUAGUUCAUUUAGUUUUUAUGUGACAUAUACGCAUCGUUUUCUGCUGUGAUGGACUGGUAUAGGAUCGUUAUACAUGGACGCUACGCAAGAAAUCAAAAAAGAAUCUUGCGCAUUUCUGAUAAGAUGGGCAAGGACUGUUGGGACUGUGCCACUCCUAACGCUAAUGGAAUCUCAAAUGUCACGCACGCUCUGCGCUUCAUAUUAUUGUAACAGGGGUUAAAUGCAUCCCAACAUUAAGUUUCUGGAGAGCAUUACAACAUUUUAAAUUACAUUAAAGACGCAAUUAAUUUCAAAGCUCACUUUUGAUGCUUUUAAAAGGCUAAUGUUACAUACUCGAUGUUGUAAUUGUGAUCCUUAGGUUUCAUAGGCGGGCUUUAACAUUUUUCCAAUUGACUACUUGUCUAUUUAUCAACCAUGAUCGAUGUCAUGAAGAUCGUCUCAAGGACAAAAAAAAAAGAACAAGAUGGCGGGAGGGAGGCAUCGCCUUAUUUGCGCUGAAGAAACAUGAGUACAAGCACACUAGAUUUAAAUGGGAAUAAACGCGAAAAACGUCUUAAGGUUUGAUCAUUUGGAGAACUUCCACAUUUGUGGAAAGGGGUUUUGAUUCCCUCCAUAGUUUAGAAACUAGUUGAAGUCAAUAAAGUUCAAUAAAUGCUGUUUAGUUUAUUCUGGUCUUUUAUUAAAAACGUCUGCAACUA